GACGAACGCUGGCGGCGUGCCUAAUACAUGCAAGUCGAACGAGAGCGACCGGUGCUUGCACUGGUCAAUCUAGUGGCGAACGGGUGAGUAACACGUGGGUAACCUGCCCAUCAGAGGGGGAUAACAUUCGGAAACGGAUGCUAAAACCGCAUAGGUCUUCGAACCGCAUGGUUUGAAGAGGAAAAGAGGCGCAAGCUUCUGCUGAUGGAUGGACCCGCGGUGCAUUAGCUAGUUGGUGAGGUAACGGCUCACCAAGGCCGUGAUGCAUAGCCGACCUGAGAGGGUGAUCGGCCACAUUGGGACUGAGACACGGCCCAAACUGCUACGGGAGGCAGCAGUAGGGAAUCUUCCGCAAUGGACGCAAGUCUGACGGAGCAACGCCGCGUGAGUGAAGAAGGUUUUCGGAUCGUAAAACUCUGUUGUUAGAGAAGAAUAAGUGCUAGAGUAACUGUUAGCGCCUUGACGGUAUCUAACCAGAAAGCCACGGCUAACUACGUG
rnacentral:rRNA from 1 species